ensembl:lncRNA
AUGUCCAGGACUUGGCCCUUCACUUGCUGGUGUCCUCUGAGCUGGACAGUGUUAGUAUAUCAAAGCAUGAGUCAAAUCACUCAGAAUGUGAUAAUACUUCACAUAAGCAAAAAAAAAAAAAGAAUUUUGCACAGACAAUCCCAGAAGAAACCUGGGACAGGGGUUUGGGUGGAAAUAGGCAGGUUGCAGAACAGUAAGGUGAGUGGGUUUGGGUUUCUGCAGGAUUUCUAGGGGGGGGGAGGCCAUGUUAAGGGAGAGACAUAUCAGUGGGAUUUGGGGGCUGUGGUGAAGGAAAGGAAGGAGGGAAAGGGAGUUGGAGAGCCUCUGGGGCCUCAUGGAAGGGGCUGGAGCCAGCAGCGAUGCCUGUGGCAGGAGUGGGGUGGCAGGGGGCAGAUGGGGGACCAGGACCAGGGGAGGCUUCAGCAGGUUGGAUCUGUAAUCGCUGCCCUGGGAGAAAAGGCAAGGGGUGCUGUGAAACAGCCAUCUUGCAAACCCCUUCUGGGAUGGCAGCAACAGAAAAAGCGUAAAUAAGCAAGGGUUUCUGAUCAGCCGUCCCGUGCCACUGUCUUCUUCUGCUGGUGAAACAGCAAUGCUCUAGGCACCCGCCUGGCCGGUCCAUGCCAGCAACAGGCUCUGACACUACAUUUCUGUGUGGCUACUUAAAUAUAGUUUGAGCCUUCCCUCUUCAGUGAGAUCUCCAUCUCAUACUACAACAUAGCCUGGAUGAUAGCAGAAUGUGAGACAAUUAUAAAUGUUUAGUUUAAGGCUCUUCUAUCUUAAGUUGUAAUGGUCACUGCAAGUUACAAAUCUAUUUCAAAGUCAGAGCCCUCUUUAAAACUUUGGCUAUUUUGAAUUUUCUAAUCAGUGUUUAAUUAUUAACAGCAGAGUAUUUUUAAUAUAAAGAGUCCCAUCUUCUGACUGCCCGCAUGUGUUUGGACUGGCCACACCAAGCUCCAGAGUGCCUCUAGAUGGUCUCCGCGCACAGAACUGCCAGUCCUUUGUCACUGAUUUGUCUUUCCAUAGACAAGAUGGCAUAUCCAGGCCUAAAGCAAAAGCACAUGCAACUCCUGAGCUGCACUGAAAUAACGAAGGCUGAGCUCAUUUACUGCACCUUUGUUGCCAGCCUGUAGGGUCCAGUAAGCUCAUUUUCUGAAAUGUAACAGCUGGGUUUGGUGAGCUGUUUCUGGAGUGUAUGACUCAUCUCUCUGAAGCCCAUCUCGCUACACUUCUCUUUUGACAAGUCAUUUCUGUCAUUCUGACCGUUGCCCCGUUCUCAGAUUUGCUAAACCGGCAUAACCGAGGACAGACUAUUUCAGAGGCAGGAUACAAGAGCAAACAGAUAUCAGUGUCAGAGGCCAAACAAGAAUCCUUUCAUGGAGCCGUAGAAGCCAACAUUAAUUUGAAGUCAUCUGUUCCCAGAAUUUGCCAUCAUUACUGGGGUACUCACGUGCCAUACUUACUGGGAAAUCACUUUGGAGAGUGCUGCUGUAAUGCAGCUGGAAAGGCACUGUAUAAUUAUUUAUAGGGGUCCCAAAACCCUGGGUAAGGGAUCCCAAAACCCUGGAUUAGGUUACUUUAUCACUUUAAAAGAAAGAGCUUGUGGGAGGGGAGGGAGGUGGAAGACUGUUGGCUAUUAAUAGAAAAAAUGAAUAGGAGCAGUAUUUUGAAUGGGUUAUAUAAUUAGUGAAAUGCAAUGCAGAAGUAGGGCUCCCAAUGCACUUUACCUGUUGACUUACCAAGUACAGAUGAGAGAGAAGCAGACAGAUAAAAAACAUUACAGUGCAGGGGAGUUUUAAACAGGCAGAACUAAAAUGCCCAGAUUUGAAAAUAAUCAUGCGAUCCAUCAACCUUAUUCUGUGGAAGGGCGAUACUGCCGAGUGGAUUAAGUGCCAGCUCAAACUCAGGGAAUGUAAGUGGUCUUCCCAGCCUUAAAUGCCCAACAUUAGGUUUCCCCAUCACUCUUCUAUGUUCUAUACAGCACUUCUCCAAUAUCACAUUAUAUUUGUACUUGUACUUUCAGGUAUCUCAGAGAAAUAAACAGCAAAAACCCAGAAGUAACUACUUACCC